UACAAUAGUUGUCUUAUUGCCUAUAGAAUCACACAGAUACUACAUAAGCAUGCAUACAAGAACAAAAGCUAGGAAAUAAAAUAUCCAUUAAGUUUUGUUUUAACAGACCAAAAGGCAAAAGGAGUUCUAUCAUAUUUUUUGUCGACCACUAAGUUAUUUUUAUAAUUAUUUUGAACAAAAAAUUCAAUUAUCUUGCAUAAUUAACUUUUAAAAAAACAACUUUAAAUUUAUUAAUUUUUGAGUUUUUUUCCCACAUUAGCAUAGCCCAAACAAAAUUUCCCAAACUAACAUAGUUCACAAAUCC
rnacentral:lncRNA from 1 species